UACGGAGGGUGCGAGCGUUGUCCGGAAUCACUGGGCGUAAAGGGCGCGUAGGCGGCCUGGUAAGUAGGGGGUGAAAUCCUGCGGCUUAACCGCAGGGCUGCCUUCUAAACUGUCAGGCUCGAGCACGGUAGAGGCAGAUGGAAUUCCCGGUGUAGCGGUGGAAUGCGUAGAGAUCCGGAAGAACACCGGAGGCGAAGGCGGCUUGCUGGGCUUGGUCUGACGCUGAGGCGCGAAAGCGUGGGGAGCGAACAGG
rnacentral:rRNA from 1 species